UUUUCUGAGACCUGGACCACCAAUGAACAAGACACGUAAGCUGAAAAACCAAGACAGGGCUAAGACAUAUCUGAAGACAGAUUUUUCAAAGGUUUAAUGGAAUGAGGAAAUGAAAUUGACUCUUCCCAGUACAGAUGGAUGGGCCUGUGGCCCGAUUAGUAAUGGGUACAGAGCUCCAGUUUAACUCAGAUGUCAACAAGGUGGAUGUGCUGAUAUGGGCUGGCAUUAUCAAAGAUGACCUAGAUGGACCUUUUUGGGUUGAAGACUCCCAAAUCUACAUGAUUCCCUGGAGCCUAUGACUAUGAAGAGAUUCUUCGAAAAUGAAAAG